UACCUUUCAAAUCCGACGUGUACUCCACCCCAGUCAUCCACUCAUAGUCGUGGAUCCGCUUGCUUCCUGACGGUAGCGACAUGUCAAAUAUGUCAUCCGUGGCCGAGUCCGAUUCCCCGUCCCCAUGCCCCGCGUCAGGGAUGACACUGUCCGACCACAGGUGGUUGAGGGAGUGCGGCUGGGGGUCGUGGCGGCUGUCCCUGUCGCUACCAGACGAAGGAUUGCUCGGGUCACUGUCCGUUUCAGCACCCCGUGAAUUCUUAUCUUUCAUCAGAUAGUCGCAAAUGGCAUUGAUGUUUUCUUUCUUCACGCCAGGUUGGCCAACGCGCAAGGUAAUGAGUUAGCCUCUCCUCCUCCAUUCUGGUGACAUCGAACAGUUGGUGUGUGCUUCUCUAAUGCCAGUUUGUAUUGUUUGUUCAAGCCUACCAGUGGUUUGUGUCUCAGCUCCUGCU